AAAAGGACACGUUUGUUUUAGAAAGCGUUGAUUCUGCUGAUGAACAAUUUCAAAAUACUAAUGCUGAGACUCUCAGUACUAAUUGUAUUCCUAUUAAAAAUGGCAGCCUGUUAAUGGUUUCUGAUAGUGAGAGGACAACAGAAGGGACUUCGCAACAGAAAGUUAAGGAAGGAAAUGGAAAAACAGUGCCUGGAGAGACAGGUCUUCCAGGUUCCAUGAAAGAUACAUGUAAAAUUGUACUUGCAACACCAAGACUUCAUAUAACAAUACCUCGGAGGUCAAAAAGAAAUAUUUCAAAGCUUUCUCCUCCAAGAAUAUUUCAAACUGUUACAAAUGGACUUAAAAAAAAUCAGUGACAGUGUGACAUAGUGAAAAGAACAGUGAGUUGAAUGUAGUUCAGCUACAGGAAUGGAUGAUUAAAAGCAUCAAUAAUAAUACUGCUAUAUGUGUAGAAGGAAAAUUGAUAGACGUCACUAACAUAUAUUGGCACAGUAAUGUAAUUAUAGAGCGGAUUGAGCACAACAAACUUAGGACUAUAUCAGGCAACGUUUAUAUAUUAAAAGGCAUGAUAGACCAAAUUUCCAUGAAAGAAGCAGGAUAUCCAAAUUAUCUCAUAAGGAAAUUUAUGUUUGGAUUUCCAGAAAAUUGGAAAGAGCACAUUGAUAAUUUUCUGGAACAAUUAAGAGAUGGGGUUUCGUCAUGUUGGCCAGACUGGUCUCGAACUCCUGGCUACAAGUGAUCCGCCUGUCUCAGCCUCCCAAAGUGUUGGGAUUACAGGCAUGAGCCACUGUGCCUGGCCUGAGGGCUGGUGAAAAGAACAGGGAAAAGACCAAACAAAAACAGAAAACUGGAAGAUCUGUCCGUGACAUAAGGAAAUCAAUGAAAAAUGAUGCACGAGAAAACCAAACAGAUACUGCUCAAAGAGCCACCACCACUUACGAUUUUGAUUGUGAUAAUUUGGAACUGAAGAGUAAUAAGCACAGUGAGUCACCAGGAGCUACAGAAUUAAACAUGUGCCACAGUAAUUGCCAAAAUAAACCAACAUUAAGGUUCCCAGAUGACCAAGUAAAUAAUACUAUUCAAAAUGGA
rnacentral:lncRNA from 10 species